rnacentral:rRNA from 1 species
CCUAGGAGCUUUAAGGCGAAGAAGGUCGUGGUAAGCUGCGAAAAGCUUGGGGGAGAAGCAAACAUUUAUUGAUCCCAAGAUUACCGAAUGGAGUAAUCCAGCUAGCAAGAUGCUAGCUAUCUAUUAUUUAAAUAAUAGAGGCGAUACCAGGGGAAGUGAACCAUCUAAGUACCCUGAGGAAAAGAAAUCAAAGAGAUUCCCUUAGUAGUGGCGAGCGAAAAGGGAGUAGCCCAAACUUUAAAUGUGUCAAGCUGC